UACGAAGGGGGCUAGCGUUGCUCGGAAUUACUGGGCGUAAAGCGCACGUAGGCGGCUUUCUAAGUCGGGGGUGAAAUCCUGGAGCUCAACUCCAGAACUGCCUUCGAUACUGGAGCUUGAGUCCGGGAGAGGUGAGUGGAACUGCGAGUGUAGAGGUGAAAUUCGUAGAUAUUCGCAAGAACACCAGUGGCGAAGGCGGCUCACUGGCCCGGUACUGACGCUGAGGUGCGAAAGCGUGGG
rnacentral:rRNA from 1 species